rnacentral:rRNA from 1 species
GUACGGGGGGGGCAAGCGUUGUUCGGAAUUACUGGGCGUAAAGCGUGCGUAGGUGGCCCGGUAAGUCCGCUCUGAAAGUCAAAGGCUCAACCUUUGAAAGCGGGUGGAUACUGUCGGGCUAGAGUCCGGAAGAGGCGAGUGGAAUUCCUGGUGUAGCGGUGGAAUGCGCAGAUAUCAGGAGGAACACCAACGGCGAAGGCAGCUCGCUGGGACGGUACUGACACUAAGGCGCGAAAGCGUGGGGAGCGAACAGG